rnacentral:rRNA from 1 species
CCACCACCAAAGCAUUCUCUGGUGUUGAAGGCCCUGCAAAGCAGCAUCGCGGUGGCGGAGCGUCGUUUGCGACGCCCAACACACAAAACAAGCGGUGAGUGCUUUGGGGUGGGGUGACUGCGUACCUUUUGUAUAAUGGGUCAGCGACUUAUAUUCUGUAGCAAGGUUAACCGAAUAGGGGAGCCGCAGGGAAACCGAGUCUUAAUUGGGCGUUAAGUUGCAGGGUAUAGACCCGAAACCCGGUGAUCUAGCCAUGGGCAGGUUGAAGGUUGGGUAACACUAACUGGAGGACCGAACCGACUAAUGUUGAAAAAUUAGCGGAUGACCUGUGGCUGGGGGUGAAAGGCCAAUCAAACCGGGAGAUAGCUGGUUCUCCCCGAAAGCUAUUUAGGUAGCGCCUCGUGAAUUCAUCUCCGGGGGUAGAGCACUGUUUCGGCUAGGGGGCCAUCCCGGCUUACCAACCCGAUGCAAACUGCGAAUACCGGAGAAUGUUAUCACGGGAGACACACGGCGGGUGCUAACGUCCGUCGUGAAGAGGGAAACAACCCAGACCGCCAGCUAAGGUCCCAAAGUCAUGGUUAAGUGGGAAACGAUGUGGGAAGGCCCAGACAGCCAGGAUGUUGGCUUAGAAGCAGCCAUCAUUUAAAGAAAGCGUAAUAGCUCACUGGUCGAGUCGGCCUGCGCGGAAGAUGUAACGGGGCUAAACCAUGCACCGAAGCUGCGGCAGCGAACGUAUCACUUAAAGCGAUUCAGCGGGUUACGAUUGACGGAGCGAAGCGACGUCAAAGCGUAUACAAAGUCGAGUCGGUUUAAGGAUACGUUCGUUGGGUAGGGGAGCGUUCUGUAAGCCUGUGAAGGUGGCCUGUGAGGGUUGCUGGAGGUAUCAGAAGUGCGAAUGCUGACAUAAGUAACGAUAAAGCGGGUGAAAAGCCCGCUCGCCGGAAGACCAAGGGUUCCUGUCCAACGUUAAUCGGGGCAGGGUGAGUCGACCCCUAAGGCGAGGCCGAAAGGCGUAGUCGAUGGGAAACGGGUUAAUAUUCCCGUACUUGGUGUUACUGCGAAGGGGGGACGGAGAAGGCUAUGUUGGCCGGGCGACGGUUGUCCCGGUUUAAGCGUGUAGGUGUGUGUUCCAGGUAAAUCCGGUUCACUUUAACACUGAGGCGUGACGACGAGGCACUACGGUGCUGAAGCAACAAAUGCCCUGCUUCCAGGAAAAGCCUCUAAGCAUCAGGUAACAUCAAAUCGUACCCCAAACCGACACAGGUGGUCAGGUAGAGAAUACCAAGGCGCUUGAGAGAACUCGGGUGAAGGAACUAGGCAAAAUGGUGCCGUAACUUCGGGAGAAGGCACGCUGACACGUAGGUGAAGUGAUUUACUCACGGAGCUGAAGUCAGUCGAAGAUACCAGCUGGCUGCAACUGUUUAUUAAAAACACAGCACUGUGCAAACACGAAAGUGGACGUAUACGGUGUGACGCCUGCCCGGUGCCGGAAGGUUAAUUGAUGGGGUCAGCGCAAGCGAAGCUCCUGAUCGAAGCCCCGGUAAACGGCGGCCGUAACUAUAACGGUCCUAAGGUAGCGAAAUUCCUUGUCGGGUAAGUUCCGACCUGCACGAAUGGCGUAAUGAUGGCCAGGCUGUCUCCACCCGAGACUCAGUGAAAUUGAACUCGCUGUGAAGAUGCAGUGUACCCGCGGCAAGACGGAAAGACCCCGUGAACCUUUACUAUAGCUUGACACUGAACAUUGAGCCUUGAUGUGUAGGAUAGGUGGGAGGCUUUGAAGUGUGGACGCCAGUCUGCAUGGAGCCGACCUUGAAAUACCACCCUUUAAUGUUUGAUGUUCUAACGUGGACCCGUAAUCCGGGUUGCGGACAGUGUCUGGUGGGUAGUUUGACUGGGGCGGUCUCCUCCUAAAGAGUAACGGAGGAGCACGAAGGUUGGCUAAUCCUGGUCGGACAUCAGGAGGUUAGUGCAAUGGCAUAAGCCAGCUUGACUGCGAGCGUGACGGCGCGAGCAGGUGCGAAAGCAGGUCAUAGUGAUCCGGUGGUUCUGAAUGGAAGGGCCAUCGCUCAACGGAUAAAAGGUACUCCGGGGAUAACAGGCUGAUACCGCCCAAGAGUUCAUAUCGACGGCGGUGUUUGGCACCUCGAUGUCGGCUCAUCACAUCCUGGGGCUGAAGUAGGUCCCAAGGGUAUGGCUGUUCGCCAUUUAAAGUGGUACGCGAGCUGGGUUUAGAACGUCGUGAGACAGUUCGGUCCCUAUCUGCCGUGGGCGCUGGAGAACUGAGGGGGGCUGCUCCUAGUACGAGAGGACCGGAGUGGACGCAUCACUGGUGUUCGGGUUGUCAUGCCAAUGGCACUGCCCGGUAGCUAAAUGCGGAAGAGAUAAGUGCUGAAAGCAUCUAAGCACGAAACUUGCCCCGA